rnacentral:lncRNA from 10 species
AGAAUAGCUUGAACCUGGGAGGUGGAGGUUGCAGUGAGCCAAGAUCUUGCCACUGCACUCCAGCCUGGGCAGCAGAACCAGAUCCUGUCUCUGGAAAAAAGAUAGCAGCAGUCACCCCUAGGUGUUGGGAUUGGAGGUGAUCUUAUUUUCUUUUUAUUUUUCUGACUUUUCUAAAUCUCUGAUAAACUUGCAAUUAAAGAAAAAAUAACAGAAAAUGUGUUAUAUGCAGUAUUAUUGGAGGUACUAUUAAUAUUUGCAAGUGUUCAGACCUAAUUGCGGGGAAAUGAUGGCAGGAUUCUACAGGUAUAUUUUAGAGCAGUUGUGAGAUGCAUGUAACUAUUUGUAAAGGUUCAUACAGAUGAUUACUAGAUCAGCAUAAAUAAUAUGUCUGUGGACGUUUUCUGCAGGACUUUGAU